rnacentral:rRNA from 1 species
UUCUGGUUGAUCCCGCCAGAGGCGACCGCUAUUGGAGUUCGAUUAAGCCAUGCGAGUCGAGAGUCUUAGGGACUCGGCAUACUGCUCAGUAACACGUGGAUAACCUGCCCUGUACUGGAGAAUAACCUCGGGAAACUGAGAAUAAUACUCCAUAGACCACAAUGCCUGGAACGGUUUGUGGUUCAAAGCUCCGGCGGUACAGGAUGGGUCUGCGGCGUAUCAGGUUGUAGGGGGUGUAAAGGACCUCCUAGCCAUUGACGCGUACGGGUUGUGGGAGCAAUAGCCCGGAGAUGGAUUCUGAGACACGAAUCCAGACCCUACGGGGUGCAGCAGGCGCGAAAACUUCACACUGCGGGAAACCGUGAUGAGGGAACUCCAAGUGUUAGCACAAUGUGCUAUCUUUUCUUGACUUUUAAUAGGUCUUGGAAUAAGGGGCGGGAAAGACCGGUGCCAGCCGCCGCGGUAAUACCGGCGCCUCAAGUGGUCGUCGCUUUUAUUGGGCCUAAAACGUCCGUAGCCUGUUUGGUAAACCCGUGGGUAAAUCAACGAGCUUAACUCAUUGACUUCUGCGGAGACUGCCAGACUAGGGACCGGGAGAGGUGUAGGGUACUCAUGGGGUAGGGGUAAAAUCCUGUCAUCCCAUGAGGACCACCUGUUGCGAAGGCGCUACACUGGAACGGAUCCGACGGUCAGGGACGAAGCCUAGGGGCACGAACCGGAUUAGAUACCCGGGUAGUCCUAGGUGUAAACGCUGUGGACUUGGUGUUGGGGAUCCGACAGGGGUUCCCAGUGCCGGAGCGAAGGUGUUAAGUCCACUGCCUGGGGAGUACGGUCGCAAGGCUGAAACUUAAAGGAAUUGGCGGGGGAGCACUGCAACGGGAGGAGCGUGCGGUUUAAUUGGAGU